rnacentral:rRNA from 1 species
AGUGAACGCUGGCGGUAGACCUAACACAUGCAAGUCGAACGGCAGCACAGUAAGAGCUUGCUCUUACGGGUGGCGAGUGGCGGACGGGUGAGGAAUACAUCGGAAUCUACUUUUUCGUGGGGGAUAACGUAGGGAAACUUACGCUAAUACCGCAUACGACCUACGGGUGAAAGCAGGGGAUCUUCGGACCUUGCGCGAUUGAAUGAGCCGAGGUCGGAUUAGCUAGUUGGCGGGGUAAAGGCCCACCAAGGCGACGAUCCGUAGCUGGUCUGAGAGGAUGAUCAGCCACACUGGAACUGAGACACGGUCCAGACUCCUACGGGAGGCAGCAGUGGGGAAUAUUGGACAAUGGGCGCAAGCCUGAUCCAGCCAUACCGCGUGGGUGAAGAAGGCCUUCGGGUUGUAAAGCCCUUUUGUUGGGAAAGAAAAGCAGCAGGUUAAUACCCCGCUGUUCUGACGGUACCCAAAGAAUAAGCACCGGCUAACUUCGUG